AUUGAACGCUGGCGGCAGGCUUAACACAUGCAAGUCGAGCGAGCGGCGGACGGGUGAGUAAUGUCUGGGAAACUGCCUGAUGGAGGGGGAUAACUACUGGAAACGGUAGCUAAUACCGCAUACCAUCAGAUGUGCCCAGAUGGGAUGAGCUAGUAGGUGGGGUAAUGGCUCACCUAGGCGACGAUCCCGAGCUGGUCUGAGUGGAUGACCAGACACGCUGGAACUGAGACGCGGUCCAGACUCCAACGAGGGGCAGGAGUGGGAAAUUUUGCACAAGGGGCGCAAGCCUGAUGCAGCCAUGCCGCGUGUGGGGAGAGGGCCUUCGGGUUGUAAAGCACUUUCAGCGAAGAGGCGUUACUCGCAGAAGAAGCACCGGCUAACUCCGUGCCAGCAGCGGCGUAAUUC
rnacentral:rRNA from 1 species